rnacentral:rRNA from 1 species
AUUGAACGCUGGCGGCAGGUCUAACACAUGCAAGUCGAACGGUAACAGGAAGAAGCUUGCUUCUUUGCUGACGAGUGGCGGACGGGUGAGUAAUGUCUGGGAAACUGCCUGAUGGAGGGGGAUAACUACUGGAAACGGUAGCUAAUAACGCAUAACGUCGCAAGACCAAAGAGGGGGACCUUCGGGCCUCUUGCCAUCGGAUGUGCCCAGAUGGGAUUAGCUAGUAGGUGGGGUAACGGCUCACCUAGGCGACGAUCCCUAGCUGGUCUGAGAGGAUGACCAGCCACACUGGAACUGAGACACGGUCCAGGCUCCUACGGGAGGCAGCAGUGGGGAAUAUUGCACAAUGGGCGCAAACCUGAUGCAGCCAUGCCGCGUGUAUGAAGAAGGCCUUCGGGUUGUAAAGUACUUUCAGCGGGGAGGAAGGGAGUAAAGUUAAUACCUUUGCUCAUUGACGUUACCCGCAGAAGAAGCACCGGCUAACUCCGUG